UUUAGAAAAGCAUCUGGAUGCCCACGCCACCACCCUCCCAGCCACCUCUGAAGUUGCCAGGCUUCCCAACAUUCUUGUCUGUGAUAUUAAAGCCAUGACAGCAAACAGCCCCUUUCUCCUAAGGUUCCUGAUUUGAAGUGGCAAAACAAGGCAGUGGCAUAGUCUCCUGUCCUAUGUCCUUGGCAUGCAGUUGGCUUCAGGUCACAUGUUGCUCUGGAGAACCGAGAAGGGUGAGCAGACACCAAUCAUGACCCCAAACAGCAAGAGGACAGAAGGGAUCCCCCCUACUCCACAGCUUGACGGCAGAGCAGUGACCAGAAUAUAUGCUCAGGAAGGCCAAAGAGAUGAAGCCGCAGCUGCCUCUUUUUUUUUUUUGAGACAGUCUCAUUCUGUUGCCCGGGCUGGAGUGCAGUGGUGCGAUCUCGGCUCACUGUAACCUCCACCUCCCAGGUUCAAGCAAUUCUCGUACCUCAGCCUCCCAGGUAGCUGGAACUAUACAGGUGUACCAUCACACCCGGCUAAUUAUUUUUUGUCUUUUUUUGUAGAGAUGGGGUUUCGCCAUGUUGGUCAGGCUGGUCUCGAACUCCUGGCCUCAGGUGAUCCACGCACCUCCGCCUCCCAAAGUCCUGGGAUUAGAGGCGUGAGCCACCGUGCCCAGCCAGGCUUGCUUCUCUGAGCCAUACCCUUCUGUUGGAACAAGCAUCCUUUCUAUUAAAAGCAAUAAAUCUCCUCUUA
rnacentral:lncRNA from 1 species